rnacentral:rRNA from 1 species
GAUGAACGCUGGCGGCGUGCCUAACACAUGCAAGUCGAGCGAUCUUUUCGGAAGAGAGCGGCGGACGGGUGAGUAACGCGUGGGUAACCUGCCUCAUACACAUGGAUAACAUACCGAAAGGUAUGCUAAUACAAGAUGAUAUAAGAGAUUCGCAUGGAUUUCUUAUCAAAGCUCCGGCGGUAUGAGAUGGACCCGCGUCUGAUUAGCUAGUUGGUAAGGUAAUGGCUUACCAAGGCGACGAUCAGUAGCCGACCUGAGAGGGUGAUCGGCCACAUUGGAACUGAGACACGGUCCAAACUCCUACGGGAGGCAGCAGUGGGGAAUAUUGCACAAUGGGCGAAAGCCUGAUGCAGCAACGCCGCGUGAGCGAUGAAGGCCUUCGGGUCGUAAAGCUCUGUCCUCAAGGAAGAUAAUGACGGUACUUGAGGAGGAAGCCCCGGCUAACUACGUG